rnacentral:rRNA from 1 species
AGGGUGUAAACGCUGCGGGCUUGGUGUUGGGGGUCCUUUGAGGGCGCCCAGUGCCGGAGAGAAGUUGUUAAGCCUGCUGCUUGGGGAGUACGUCCGCAAGGAUGAAACUUAAAGGAAUUGGCGGGGGAGCACCGCAACGGGAGGAGCGUGCGGUUCAAUUGGAUUCAACGCCGGACAACUCACCAGGAGCGACGGUUACAUGAAGGUCAAGCUGAUGACUUUACCUGAUUUUCCGAGAGGUGGUGCAUGGCGUAGUCGUGU